AGCCUGGCCAGGUCAAGUCGGAAAGUAAUGUGAGCAUGUUGCCGGCGUUGUCAUUGUUUUGAAAAAAGUUUGGAAAGUGCGUGUGCGACUAGCGUUUACUUUCUUUUUGUAUCCCAAACACCUCACCGUGGUGAAACAAUGGACGCCGCGAAGGCGGAAUGCGUCGAGUCUGACAGUAGUCAUGCCUUUCGUUCAGUUGCCAGCGGUGUCAUCCCGAGCAUCGUCGCGUCCGUCUGCAUUGAAGGUUGUGAUACAGAUAUAUCCAUCAUGGAGUUUACGGACAAGCUGUUUGUCGUGAUUUCCCAGUACAAGAAACUCGGCACCCUCGUGCUGGUAACAAAAGAUGCUGCAAACUGUGACGAUCCCCAGAAGCUUGUGUACACCACGAAAGUGCUGUUUGGAAAGGACGAGGCAGAGGUAGAUGCGACUGCCAAGCUCCUAGCAACGACAAUCAAGUCCUCAAAGACUGUUCUCCUAAGCCUUGCCUUGAAAAAGUUCUCACCAACAAUUGUGCGAAGCAUUGCAGCAGCUGUGGCCACCCAACUUGUGUCCUUCAAUUCCCCAGUGCACCAGAAUGUAAUACCUGGUACUAGCUAGUGACUGUGUGUGAAGUUUUUGUUUAUGUUAUAAAUGGGGGGCAAGCACCUGUCAAAAAAGCUUGUAUGGUUAUUGAUGCGAGUGAAGAGUGUUCAUCUCCGAACAGCAGACAAGGUCUCCACUUCUAGUAUCUAUUGUUGGAGCAUUUUAAUUGCAGUUCAAUGGAGACCACUGUGUCGAACGAGGAUGUGAUUACGGAGGUGAAAUUCAGUGUUGUGUGAUCAUCAAUGUAAAGAGGAAUGCGGGCACUGGAAUGGAAACCUUAGCCAAAUGCAACGUCUGGCUCACUUGGCAGAAAAGCUGAAAAGGCAAGAAAUGAAUAGGUGUGCAGAGUUA
rnacentral:misc_RNA from 1 species